UGGUUGCGGGGGCAGGAUUUGAACCUGCGGCCUUCAGGUUAUGAGCCUGACGAGCUACCGGGCUGCUCCACCCCGCG
rnacentral:tRNA from 1 species